CUAAUAUAAUAUUAUUAAUCAUUUUCAUACAAUAAACGUGUAUUUUCUAUACAAAAAUUCCGGUUUCAUAUUUACAUACCUGGUACACUGCAUUCUCCACACCAUAAGGCUACUUCCAUUAUAAUCGCAUGCCAUUCGGACUGAAAAACGCACCCGCAACUUUUCAACGAAUGAUGGACACAGCAUUAAGAGCGUUAGUCAAUGUUAAUCGUUUCGUACAUCUAGACGAUAUUAUAAUUUUCGAAGAUACAAUUCAAAAACAUAGUCAAAAUUUAGCAAUAGUUUUGCAAAGACUUAGAGAACUAGGACUCAAGAUACAGUCUGGUAAAUGCGAAUUCCUCAAAGCUUGAAUAUUUAGGACAUUUAGUAACAGUCGAAGGAGUUAAACGAAACCCGAAGAAAAUCAAGCCCGUGAAAGAUUUUAGGACGCCGAGGAACCCAACCAAGGUCGAAUCAUUUUUAGGACUGACCGGCUAUUAUAGAAAAUUUAUACGUAACUUUUCCAAGAUAGCCAAACCAUUGACCGACUCAAUUAAGAAAGAUAUUAGCUUUUACUGAACGAACAAACAACAAGACAGUUUUGAAUCGUUGAAACAAAAAUUAUAUGAGGCACCGAUUUUAACUUACCCAGAUUUUACAAAGACCUUCACGCUAACGACCGACGCGAGUAACGAAGGACGAGAAGCUGUUCUCUCACAAGAUGGACGCCCAUAUUGUUUUAUUUCAAAAACACUCAACCCACCUGAGAAAAAAUUACACGGCAAAUGAAAAAGAACUUUCAGCAAUCAUAUGGGCGAUGAAAAGGCUAAGACAAUAUCUGUUAGGACGUAAAUUCAUAAUUAGGAAAAACCAUCAGGCUUUGAAAUGGCUAAACGAUUGUAAAGAUCCUUAAUCACGUUUAAUGAGAUGGAGAUUAAAAUUAGAAAAAUACGAAUACGAGAUUGAAUACGUAAAGGUAAAGAUAACACGGUAGCCGAUAGUUUAUCCAGAGCUCACGCAAUCACAAAAACAGACAUCCAUGUUAUAGAUCGUACAGAGCAUUUCAAUGAAUGCAAGCAAGCGGCAAGAAUUCAUGGAAGACUUGAUUUGAAAUCAAACGACAAUUCCUUUUAUCAAUUGACCAAAGACGAGCUAGGUGAAUAUAAUGAAACAAUUUGGCUUAGGAAAAUCCAUUCGAUUAUUCAAAAUUAUACCAAACUUAGAAUAGGUGACAACACGUUUUCAGAAUUAGAAAAAAUUCAGUUGAAACUCAUAAAUCUUUAUUUCAAUGAUACAUAAAAAAUUAAUUUUUGCGUGGGAACCAAUAAAAGAGUUAACAGAAGCAGAAGUAGAUACAAUUCUAUGUGAAAAUCAUAAUGAAAUUAUGAUUAUAGGACACUUAGGAGUGCAAAAAACAUCAAAAAAUUAAAGAAAAAUAUAAAAUAGCAGAUUUAGUGGAAAAGGUAGAAACUUUUAUCAAAAAUUGUGAUGCAUGUUAAAAGAAAAAACUAACGCGAAUUCGACCCAAGGAAAUACCAAUUAUUUCAGACACACCUUUGCAACCAAACGAUAAAAUAGCAAUGGAUAUCAUUGGACCAACGAUGAAAACAAAACGAGGAAAUCAAUUCAUACUUUUGAUUCACGACGAACUGACAAAAUAUUUAAUAUUAGUACUUUUGAACACCCAACAGACAGAGUCAAUUAUUAACGCUAUUUUGGUACACUACAGUUAUAUUUUCUCAGCACAAAGAACAAUUUUGACGGAUCAAGGACAAAACUUUGUGAGCGAACUAAUGAUUAAGUUUGAUGAAGCUUUCAAAAUCAAACAGAAUAAAACCACAUCUUUCCACCCUCAAGCCUACGGAUCCCUAGAAAGAACGCAUGCUGUAGUGAAAGAUUUGAUACGAACUAGUUUACGCGAUAACAAUAGAGAAUGGGAUGAUGUUUUGAAUUUUAAUUGUUUAAGAUAUAAUACUUCGAUUCACGAAGCUAUUCUUCUCGCCAUUUGAAUUAUCUUUCGGAAGGAAAGCUAACUUGCCCUUCGUGAUAGCCAAAACUAUGGGUUUAAGGGCAUAUUCUAGUCUACAAAUUCGAAAAAAUCGAAAAAAAUUUUUUUUAUAUUUCCAAAGUAUCGACAUUCAAGAAUAUGCCCUUAAAAGGAUUUUUCAAAAUUUCAAAUAUUUUAUGAGUUACAGCUAUUUUUACAUUUGCUCCAGUCCGACCGGAACAAAUGAACAGUAGACGGUAGACGUUGCCCGAGUACCUACGUAUGAAUAUACCUCAUGAAAUAUUUAUUGUAUUUUAUCCCCUUUUAAUGUAUUUUUGAUUCAAUGAUUCAAUUUGAACUAUAUUUGGGUUCUGAAACCCAAAAUAAUAACGAAUCGUUAAAUUCGUUAAUAUGGACUUUUGCUCCGAAGCGCAUCCACGCAGGAACGCAGACAAUUCAAAUUUUCACUUUCCUUGCAAAACUCGUGAGGUCGCAAUCAGGCGAGACGAGGUUCGUAUCGAGCGCUCUGAACUCCGAGCUUCAGAGGCAUCAAAGGAAGCCAGGACUGCUCGUCUCCAUGAAAGAACUUCGGACAAUGAGCAUUUUCAAGUAGAGGAAGGUUUCUUGUAGGGAGUAGGAAUCGCCGAUUAAAAAUAUGUAAGUAUGCUGUACCAUUCUAUGAGUAAUAUUGCCGGAAACUUGUCUCAAAACUUUAAACGUGUAGAGAGAGAGAUUAUGUUCUUAUUCAUAAUGAUCAUGAGAAAAAUAGGUUGGACAUUGAAUGGUUAGGGCCAUGCAGAAUUCACCAAAUUAAAACUCCGUAUUACGGGAUUUUGAUUGAUAGUGUUAUUAAGAAAAUCCAUGGUAAUCGUUUGAAAACUUAUUUCUCAGAACGAGAUCCACCCUAAAGUAAUUCUCAGUAUUAGCACCAUUGAUCCAACCAAAAAUCCUGAAUUGCCUUUUGAAAAACAUGAAACUAUACAAAACAAAGUUCCAAUGCAGCUGGUGACGCUAUUGGAUGUUAUAAAGCAAUUGAAAAAAAAGAAAAAAAAAAAAGAAUCUGGC